rnacentral:rRNA from 1 species
AUGGUGAUGGAUGACCACCAACUCCGGCUACUCCAGAUCCCUCCGCCUAUCCACCCCGAGGAUCCGGAUUCUCCUCUCCCGGAGACCAUCCUCAUCGACUCCUUCGGCUACCUCAGCGACCGCACCAACGCCACCACCGCCCGUGGCCGCAGGAGCAGGACCAAGAAGAAGGGCAAGCGCAUCCUGGUCACCUUCUGGCCGGCUGCCCCGCCGCGCGUCUCCUGCUUCACCGUCCACUGCCCAGAUCUGAAGCCCGAUGCAUUCGCUGACAUGCCCAAGAUCUCCUAUACGGAGGAUGGCCUCGUCCUGCUCCGCAUCACCAUCUGCCCCGAGCGCCAGCACGUGUACACCAAGAACAUUCGCUACUUCGUCUACCAGGCCGGCACCAAGAAGACGCCGCCGUCGGUCAAGCUCGUCCACUGUGCCCCCUACUUCAGGAUCUACGACCAAGAGGUUGCCUUACUGCACUGCCACGACCAAGAGAUGUUCUUCAUCGCCGUGCUCCGCAGGGCCUUCAUUGAGCGGGAGUACACCGACGGGCACUUUAAUCUCCACCUGUACAACUCCAAGACAAAGGCAUGGAGCACCAAGUUGAUGCUUCUUGAUUCGCCCAAGGAUUUUGAGUUCCAGUCUCCCAACAAGGGGAUCACCAUUGGAGGGGAGCUUGGUUCAGUGGGUUGGGUCGACCUCGGGCGGGGCAUUAUCAUCUGUGACCUUCUCCUCCUUGACAGCAACCAGAGUCUUCGCUACAUCCCGCUACCUUCGCCGCUGUCGCCCGAUCCGCUCAUUGGUUAUCCGUUGUAUGUUCAGAACAUCACUGUUCUCCAAGGUUACAUCAAGUAUUUUGAGAUGCACAAUAACGUCAGACCGGGCUCAGACACUGGAAGCUCCCCGAUAUCUCAAGGAGCGUGGUGA